rnacentral:rRNA from 5 species
AUUGAACGCUGGCGGCAGGCUUAACACAUGCAAGUCGAGCGGGGGAAGGUAGCUUGCUACCGGACCUAGCGGCGGACGGGUGAGUAAUGCUUAGGAAUCUGCCUAUUAGUGGGGGACAACAUCUCGAAAGGGAUGCUAAUACCGCAUACGUCCUACGGGAGAAAGCAGGGGAUCUUCGGACCUUGCGCUAAUAGAUGAGCCUAAGUCGGAUUAGCUAGUUGGUGGGGUAAAGGCCUACCAAGGCGACGAUCUGUAGCGGGUCUGAGAGGAUGAUCCGCCACACUGGGACUGAGACACGGCCCAGACUCCUACGGGAGGCAGCAGUGGGGAAUAUUGGACAAUGGGGGGAACCCUGAUCCAGCCAUGCCGCGUGUGUGAAGAAGGCCUUAUGGUUGUAAAGCACUUUAAGCGAGGAGGAGGCUACUUUAGUUAAUACCUAGAGAUAGUGGACGUUACUCGCAGAAUAAGCACCGGCUAACUCUGUGCCAGCAGCCGCGGUAAUACAGAGGGUGCGAGCGUUAAUCGGAUUUACUGGGCGUAAAGCGUGCGUAGGCGGCUUAUUAAGUCGGAUGUGAAAUCCCCGAGCUUAACUUGGGAAUUGCAUUCGAUACUGGUGAGCUAGAGUAUGGGAGAGGAUGGUAGAAUUCCAGGUGUAGCGGUGAAAUGCGUAGAGAUCUGGAGGAAUACCGAUGGC